UCAAAAGGUCCACAACCUCCAACAUCUGCAGACUGCAUGGAAGGAAAUGGGGUUCUCCGGGUCCCCUACAUUUACGGACUUCCAUACUUCCAUUGCUACAUAUGCUAGAGAUGCAUUGUCACCUGGAACCAGGGCAAAGAUAAGCAAAACAAUGUGUCAUGACACCACCACGGCUGAAAAGUUCUAUGCAAUGCAUUUGAAUACAGAUCAAAUGUCAGAGCUGCGUAGACGAUUUCAGGAGGCCCCGUAGGAAUACGGGGACAGCAGGAAACUUCCAACCACAGAUCCAGCUUCCACAGUUCUAGGAACACCUGCUUAUAAUUAUAUUGAAAGUAGCCACCUUUAUAACAUUUCUCCAAAAAAUGUGCUAUACAUUGAUUGAUGGUUUGUUGUUAUUGACACUUCACUUGACAGCUCCUGAUGCCCAAAGCUUUCCGAAUAUAUCAGCUGGACUCAGCUGAUCCCUUGCGCUUUGGUGACGAGCAAUAUUUAGGCGUAUUCAGGUUGAACGUCUCUUUAAUUGGAACUGUUCCCCGUUCCCUAUGCAAUGCUGUUUGAAAGAAAACAACAUCCUUCAUGUUCAGAAGCUCAAUUGCCACAUGUUUGGCUACUGGCCACUGGAAAGUCAUCAGAAACACGGACCCUCCAGGCCAGGCCAAUUCAAAUGACUGUGGAGUGUUCAUGGUUAUGUACGCUCUUUAUAUGGCCUUGGGGUGGAGAUUUGACUUCAGUCAGGAUGACAUGCCAUGGUUAUGAAGGUGGUGGUGCCAUUCGAUGCUUGCAAAUAUGACUCUCGCUGCAAACACUAAUGACAACGCUUUGGCAUGUAAUGUCUUGCUAGCCGAAGAACCGGCAAGCAAAAUUCAACGUAUGGGGGACAUACAUCCCGAGGAAUCCCUUGAACAGAGCACCAUGACAAGAAUCAAUGAAGCAGUAUGCUGGAUACGAGACAUGUCUCUUUUCCGUGGACAUGUUGAACUGCCCAGCAUAUUGUCCAUGACAGCAGUGGAUCGACAGCAGUUCUUUCAGAACAUCGCCAAUGAUGAUGACAUCCAUGACUCAAGAGAAUGCCUCCUUUUUGUUUUUGAAUAUCAAGAAGAUUACACAGUUUUUUUUUAUUCUUGUCCAGCUGUGUCAGCAAUGUUUAACACCCUACCCUUUCCCCUUAGCCAGAGGACGGGCACCACCUCUGUCCACCCAUGGCCCACCUA